GACUCUAAGCGGUGGAUCACUCGGUUCUCCGGUCGAUGAAGAACGCAGCCAGCUGCGAGACUUGGUGUGAAUUUUAGGACACACUGAGCACUGAUUCUUUGAACGCACAUUGCGGCCUUGGGUCUUCCCUUGGCUUCGUCUGUCUGAGGGUCG
rnacentral:rRNA from 1 species